rnacentral:rRNA from 1 species
CCUACGGGAGGCAGCAGUAGGGAAUAUUGGGCAAUGGGCGCGAGCCUGACCCAGCCAUGCCGCGUGCCGGAUGAAGGCCUUCUGGUCGUAAACGGCUUUUUUCCGGGAAGCGGUACCGGGAGAAUAAGCACCGGCUAACUCCGUGCCAGCAGCCGCGGUAAUACGGAGGGUGCGAGCGUUGUCCGGAUUUAUUGGGUUUAAAGGGUGCGUAGGCGGCCGCGUAAGUCUGGGGUGAAAGCCCGUUGCUCAACAACGGAACUGCCCUGGAAACUGCGCGGCUUGAGUCCAGACGAGGUGGAAUGGGCGGUGUAGCGGUGAAAUGCAUAGAUACCGUCCAGAACCCCGAUUGCGAAGGCAGCUGACUAGCUGUACUGACGCUGAGGCACGAAAGCGUGGGGAGCGAACAGGAUUAGAUACCCUUGUAGUC